CUGAAAUACAGAGGGAAAGAAUGAAAUACAUAUAAAUAUUUUUCUGUAGGACCAUUUCUGUAUCCAACAAAAAUAGAAAUGCGGAAGAAGACAAUGGAGCGUUUGCAACAAACGGAGUACAAGAGCAGAAGCCUACAUAAUCUAAAACCAAAUGAUACCAAACACUCUACGGAGGAAAAUGAUGUGAGGCAUCUUUCAAAAGAUGUGGAGAGGCAACAAAAAAGAACUAACACUGCCAGGAGGAGAGUCAACAACUUUGAUAAUCACAAUUCAGUGGUAUAGUACGACUAUUUCAUAAAUCUGUUUUUUAGCAACUCAUAAAUCUGUUUAAUAUCAGAGCAUAUUCAACUAUUUUACAAAUUAUUUGUAAGUAUACUAAAUACAAAUUUAAUAUAUACAUAUAUGUUUAGUUUCA